GGACCGGUAGUUCAGUGGUAGAACACCUGCCAUGUCUGGCCAUGAGUUUGUCGUGACAUCGGCGGGAGACCUGGCGUUCGAUUCCCAGCUGGCCCA
rnacentral:tRNA from 1 species